rnacentral:tRNA from 1 species
UCCUCGGUAGUAUAGUAGUUAGUAUUUCUGACUGUCACUCAGGAGACCGGGGUUCGAUUCCCCGCCGGAGAG